GAUGCCUUGCAGCUGUGCCACCUGCUGAUGGCUCUAUUUAAGCUUCAGGUGGCAGUUCCUCUUCAGUUCAGGCCAGAAUCAUGAGAGGUGUUUCAAUCCUGGUGGUUUGUGCAGUGGUGCUGUGGCUUAAAGCUACCUGCUUACCAAUUGAUCAAGAUGGAGGACAUGAGCACAACUUGAUGUCACCGAAUGACAUUUCUUUGAGAAAUAAAAUGGUCAAUCUCCAGUCACUGAAAUCCAUGUUGCUGCGAAACGCCAAAGAAGUACAACUGGAAACCAUUGAAGUGGAAAGGAUCAUUGCUCGUGCUGCUC